ACAAAAUUUUGGUGAGAGGGACUAAGGAAAGUGUGGUGGAAUACACUGGGUAAAUGAGAAAGCAUGUUGGGAGGUGGUAGUUCCUGUCCUGUUCAAAAGUGGUACCUCACAGACCUAAUCCUUAGAGAAGACCUAUGGUGUGUAGACCAUAGAUGACCUAUAACACAUAACAAUGAAACACGUGAUCUUCUAAUUUUCAUAAUGCACCCAUGCAAAAAAAAAGCAUCUAACAAAGUUUUUAUCAAGUUGUUUUGUAUAAAAAUUGAUUUUUAAAUGAAAUUAAAAUAUUAGAACUUGGUAUAAUAAAACUUUGUAUAAUUUUAAUAAUGUUGAUUAGUUGAGACUGAGAAGUUCCAAAGGCUAUUUAUAAAAGGGAUUUAUAUGAUAGGUUUAACUAUGUUUAAUAACCUCCUUAGAACAAAGAAGAACAGAAUUUUUAGAAAGUAAAUUCCCUUUUUUCUUUACAGUAAGUCCAGUAGCUUAAAUUUUUUUUCAUGUUUUAGGUCAGCUUCACCCAAGGCUGUCAAAAUGCAAGAGAUAAAUAAAUUUAAUGAAUUUAAUAAUGGCACCUUCCAGUUAGUCAACUUCACGAGUCAAUCUGUAAAGUUAAAGAGUAAAAAUGUGCAGGCAGGCCUGGAACCCAAGUAAGGUUUUUUUUCUCUUUUCACAAAAGCGGCUGACAGAUCGGUAAAUAGGUGAUUGUUCUUAUAGUACAAGCACAAGACUCCUCUGAUUUUAAGACAGCAGAAAGUCUUUACAACUAGAGACCUUCGAACUGUAGAA